UACAGAGGUCUCAAGCGUUGUUCGGAUUCAUUGGGCGUAAAGGGUGUGUAGGUGGCGCGCUAAGUCGGGUGUGAAAUUUCGGAGCUUAACUCCGAAACUGCAUUCGAUACUGCCGUGACUAGAGGUCGGUAGGGGAGUGUGGAAUUCCUGGUGGAGCGGUGAAAUGCGCAGAUAUCAGGAGGAACACCCGUAGCGAAGGCGGCACUCUGGGCCGAUACUGACACUGAGGAGCGAAAGCGUGGGGAGCGACAGG
rnacentral:rRNA from 1 species